UACGUAGGUGGCGAGCGUUAUCCGGAAUGAUUGGGCGUAAAGCGAGCGCAGGCGGUUGUUUAGGUCUGAUGUGAAAGCCUUCGGCUUAACCGAAGAAGUGCAUCGGAAACCGGGCGACUUGAGUGCAGAAGAGGACAGUGGAACUCCAUGUGUAGCGGUGGAAUGCGUAGAUAUAUGGAAGAACACCAGUGGCGAAGGCGGCUGUCUGGUCUGCAACUGACGCUGAGGCUCGAAAGCAUGGGUAGCGAACAGG
rnacentral:rRNA from 1 species